GAUGAACGCUGGCGGCGUGCCUAAUACAUGCAAGUCGAGCGAACGGACGAGAAGCUUGCUUCUCUGAUGUUAGCGGCGGACGGGUGAGUAACACGUGGAUAACCUACCUAUAAGACUGGGAUAACUUCGGGAAACCGGAGCUAAUACCGGAUAAUAUUUUGAACCGCAUGGUUCAAAAGUGAAAGACGGUCUUGCUGUCACUUAUAGAUGGAUCCGCGCUGCAUUAGCUAGUUGGUAAGGUAACGGCUUACCAAGGCAACGAUGCAUAGCCGACCUGAGAGGGUGAUCGGCCACACUGGAACUGAGACACGGUCCAGACUCCUACGGGAGGCAGCAGUAGGGAAUCUUCCGCAAUGGGCGAAAGCCUGACGGAGCAACGCCGCGUGAGUGAUGAAGGUCUUCGGUUCGUAAAACUCUGUUAUUAGGGAAGAACAUAUGUGUAAGUAACUGUGCACAUCUUGACGGUACCUAAUCAGAAAGCCACGGCUAACUACGUG
rnacentral:rRNA from 1 species